GAUGAACGCUGGCGGCGUGGAUAAGGCAUGCAAGUCGAACGACCCAUCGUAAUACGGAUGACUCUUCGGAGUCUGAAGUAUUACAUAUAUGGGGAGUGGCAAACGGGGUAGUAACAGGUAGGUAUAUACCAUUGAGUCAGGAAUAACUGCGAGAAAUCGUAGCUAAUACCUGAUAGUCUCUACGGAGUAAAGAUUUAUCGCUCAAUGAAUAGCCUGCUUAGUAUCAGCUAGUUGGUAGUGUAAUGGACUACCAAGGCUAUGACGCUUAGGGGAGGUGAGGGCCUGACCCCCACCAUUGGAACUGCGACACGGUCCAA
rnacentral:rRNA from 1 species